UUCUGAUUUUCUUAUGUAGGCACUCAUAGCUAGCUAUAAACUUUCCCUUUAGAACAAAUUUUAGAGUAUGUCUGAGGGUCUGGUAUGUUGUAUCACUAUUCUUAUUUGAUUCUAAAAAUUUUUAAAUUUUUCUCAUGAUUUCUUCUAUCACUUACUCAUCAUUCAAAAGUGUAUUGUUCAGUCUCCAUGUAUCACAUUAUUUUUGGUGUUUAUUUCUAAUUUCAUUCCACUAUGAUUAAAUAAGAUACAAGAGAUUAUACUGAUUUUUUAAAAAAAUAUCUGCUAAGUGUUGCUUUGUAGCCUAAUCUAUUUUGGAGAAGUUUCCACAAGAAGUUGAGAAGGAAAUGAAUCUGACUAUGAUAGAUGAAAUAUUCUAUGAAUAUUCAUUAAGUCUGUGAUUUAUGGUAUUUUUUAGGUCUAAAGAAUCUUUACAGAGUUUAUGUAUGAUGAGAGAAUUGUGUUGAAAUCACCUAGUAUUAUUGUAAACAGGGUCUGAGUCUUUAAGUUAAGUAAUAUUUCUCUUAUGUAAUUAGGAAUAAUGAUGUUUAGGGCAUAAAUAUUUAUUAUUUUAUUUCCUGUUGGAUCAUUUCCUUUUCCAGUAUAAAGUACCUUCUUUGUCUCUUCUAAUUAAUUUUGGUCUGAAAUCUUCUUUGUUGGAUAUGAGAAUAGCUAUACCUGCUUGUCCAUCUUUACUUUUUUAAUGGACAUAUUUACUGUUGGUAGGAGAAAAUAUUUCAUUCUGAAAAAGAAUUCUUCCUUUUGGCUGAAAAAGGUAGAAUUGAAUUUCUAGAACUCUAGAUUCUGGCCAACGUUUCCAAAUACCAUGAGUGAGCAGUGGCAAGGCCAGGUAAAAUGGUUGUAAUUGUCACCUCUUGACGGUUAUGCCUAAGGAUAGACAGAAGGCAACUAGACAGGUGGAUGGCUGAGAUUAAAAAAAAGAAAAGAAAAAAGAAAUCAUAAGAAAGGCUUUCUACCAUCUUCCCUGUAGGUGUGGAGUCUGUGGUUCUGCUCAAGGCUACUCUGUAGAAACUGGUUGGUUAAAUUGGCACAAAGAAUGAAUCUACAGAAACAGCAAAAUGGCUUCAUAGACAUGUCCACAUUUUCUAUGUCAUGAAAAAAGUAGAAUCUUGCUCCUGAACUAAAAGAGGGAAAAAUUGAUCUGCCAUAUGGGAAAACAGGGGGACUAUAUUGUGGAUGAAUAUUAGGAUUAGCUCUCUACUAUCUAUCACACUGUCUGAUAUUCUGCCAUCAUUUUCAGUCUUGGGUUAUUUUGGUCUUUAGGGUCAACUGACUAAUGCCAAAUAUUCCUAUCUAAGAUGCUCAUCAAGGAUGCUGACAGCUCUUGGAUAGCAAGAUACUUUAGAAGUGAGAUCAAGGGAAUUACCCAUGGUGGGUUAGGAUAAAGAGAGGAAAUACUGAGGAAGCUUGGAAUAAUCUCAUGAUAAUAUCAUCAAUUGAACUUCAUUUGUUUUUCUAUUGAGAAAUUUUUUUAUCAGAGAUUACUUUGAAUAUUUUCAAAUUUCCAAUUGUAGACUAAAAAUGACCAAGUAUCUCCAGAUAUUUGGUAUAAUAGUGUCUCCAGAUUGAUAAAGUAAGAAAUUCCCAAAUAAUCAUAUAAAUACUAGAAAGUCACUUUGUUCUUAUAAAGGUUUCUAAAGUUGUCCCCUUUCUCUCUCUCCCUCUCUCCCCCUUAUGUUGGCAUCAUCUUCUCCUGUCCUUGAACAUCAGAACUUAAGGUUCUCAGGCUUUCAGUCACCAAGUAUUAUAGCAGCAUUCCCUUAGGUUCUCAGGUCUUUGAAUUCAGGCCAAAUUAUACAUUUGUUUCACCUUAUAGAUAGCAAUGUGGAACUUCUCAGUCUCCAUAAUCUUGUGAACCAACUCUAGAACACUGACUAGUACACUUGCCUCCCUUAGUCUAGGGAUUUUUUUUUUUGGGUAGUUGUAGCAGGACAGCACACCUUUAAUUUUUUUGUUUAUUUUUAUGUGGUGCUAAGGAUCAAACUCAGUACCUCACACGCGCUAGGCAAGCAAUCUGCAACUGAGCUAUAACCUCAGCCCUAGUCUAGGGAUUUUGUCCUCUUACUUAAUCUGUAUAUAAUUUCUUAUGCUCUGUUUGAGUUUAUAAAGUGCUAGAUAGAGGAAUUGUAUUAUUUCAACUGCAUUUCAUAGUAUACUUGGAUCUCUUGCAAACCACUUAAUCUUCAAUUCAUCCUCCAUCCUGCUGCCAGAAUGAUCUUCCACCCAUGAAUUUGCCAACAUUCAUACCUGCUGGAAUCUCCUUUGUGUAUUCCUUGCAGGAAAGAAGUGAGAAGAAGAAUAAAAACAGAGAAGACAAGUGAAAAAUAAAUGCCAAUAUGGUAGACCUAACCCAACCAUACAGUUUAUUUAAACAAGUUUUCGGCGGACACAACAUCUUUGUUGGUAUGUGGUGGUGAG